ACGAAUAAUCACAGUUAAAACAAGAGGAAACAACAAUUACAGUUAAAACAAGAGGAAACGACAAUCACAGUUAAAACAAGAGGAAACGACAAUUACAGUUAAAACAAGAAGAAACGGCAAUUACAGUUAAAACAAAAGAGAAACGAACACUACAGUAAAAACAUAAGGAAACGACAACUACAGUUAAAACAAGAGGAAACGGCAACUACAGUUAAAACAAGAGGAAACGACAAUUACAGUUAGAACAAGAGGAAACGACAAUUACAGUUAAAACAAGAGGGAACGGCAAUUAC
rnacentral:lncRNA from 1 species